UCCCCUUGGAAAGGCAGAGAGGUCCUCCUAUAUUAUUAAGUGACAUUUUGCCACAUUUUCCAGCUUCUAGAAAGCGGGAGGAAAGUCAACAGAAUAGAAGAAACUCCCAGACCUUCAAAAGAAUCCAUGCCACUAUAAACAAAUAAUGGGAGAGAGAUGGCCAGAGGCUCUUCAUAGGAUGAUCUCCACUGCAUGCCGGUGGGUCGGGCAGGUCACAUCUGGCUGAGAGCGAGCCAUCAUCUGCCCAGCACACAUUGCAGCUACGGAUGCUGGAUUCUUGCCAUUGUGGAGUUGGCCAUCGGGAGAGAAGGUGUACUACACAAGGCAGUAUGGGUCUCUCUUUGCUGCUGUUCCUUUCCCUGCACAUGGGGUCCACAAUGCAUACUCCUUCAGUGAUUCAGACACCUACCUCUCUGAAUGUGACGGAAGGAUCAACACUGGAUAUGAAGUGCAGAAUCGAUGGAAACCUCUCCAAAAUUUUUUUAAAUUGGUAUAAAAAUGGAAUUGAUGAAUUACAAAACUCAACAGAAAUUUAUAUAAUUAAAAAUGAAACAGAUAGAUCUAGUCAUUUCAUUCUGGAGACAGCAGAUAUAGCUGAUUCUGGAACCUAUGUGUGUAAGGCUGGAAACAUAGCACACAAUCUUCCCAAUAAUGGGACACAAGUGACCAUCAACGAAAUUACUGGAUUUAAGGUGAACCAGACUCCUAGCCACAUCAGCAAAGAGGAAGGGGCAGAUGUCACCCUUGAGUGUCACUUCAGGACUGUCGGCAGGAACAGCACCAUGUGUGUGAGGUGGUGCAAAGGAGGGCUUGAGGGAGAGCUGACUAACAAAACAGGCUCGUGCAGAAUCACUCAGAAUCUGAGAAAAGGAUUUGCUUCGCUCACUCUCAUGAAUGCUAACGUGAGCGAUUCAGGGUCCUACACCUGUGAAGUCAGGAGAGAAUCAAGAAAUCACUGGGAAUCAGGGAGUCCAUCUGCUGUUGUCAUCACAAAACAUAACAAGCAGCCUGCGAGCAACAGUGGAAGCUCUGAAUCCAGAGCUAGAGCUGGAAUUGGAGCCGGAAUUGGAGCCGGAGCCGGAACCCUCCUGCUGUUGCUGCUGCUAAGUGUCUUUGUGUGCUGGAGAUAUAAGAAGCAAGCCAAAGGGACUCCGGUAAGCACGUCAGAGACAGAAGCCGGGCCAACGAAAGAAGGCCAGCCGCAUUCUCCUGUAGCCAACCAAGAAAGCAAUAUAACCUACGCCGCCCUCCGAUUCAACAGAAAGGAAGUGCAACCAGAUGCUGAAGUCAUUUAUGCAGAAGUGAGAACAAGUCAACAACAGCAAAGCGGCGAAAAGGGCCGGAUCCAGCCCCAAACUGGCCACUCCCGCUAGAGGAGAUGGUGUGGAAUAGGAGAGAGGCCCAAGCCCCUUUCAAAAGCCCCUUGGAUCCCCUUUUCUGUGAGAUUGUUCCUUGUUCCAUUAUGUUGAAGACCCACAGUCUGGAAGAUAUGCUGACGCCCUUGUUCCUCUUCCCUUAAUCUGAUGGCUGGGCAGCUUGAGUCUAUAAAGUCAUGAUGUCUGGCUCUGAAGAUGCUGCUGAAGCCAUCACUGCCUCUCCCCCCCCAUGAGGCCAUCUGGCCCUUGCCCCCCCCCGUAGAUAUAGGAAGAGUGUGGUGGCUGCUGCAGAGAGGGUGACUGCCAAGGGUGGGCUCCCUCAGCUGGCCUGCAAAUGGGACGUCCUCUUGAGGCAACUUUGCAAUGCAUACUCAGGCCUUAGAGUGGCUAACUCAGGCCCUCUUGCAUGCCCACCUGUAGCCAUGUGGCUGCAAUGCGCAUGUGACUACUUUAACCACUUGGGCAGGGGGCGGUUGUGUGGCUUAGUCUCACCCAACUGCAGAUCCUGCCACAAGCAACCAUAACCAUUGGAUGAGAGAGAUGGACCCACACAUCUGGUUGCACCCCAGAGAAGUGGCUGCAACACAGUUGUGAACGUGUGUGAAAGGAACCACUGUUAAUCAGCUAUAGGCCUGGGCUUUAACUCUUACACUGUCAGGAUGGGGAGCAAUCAGCUAGAAGAGGCUCAGACUCAGCAAUUCAGCAGCACUAAGUCUCCACUUCUCAUCUGCCAGAGCUGUGGGCUGAAGUACAUGUUCAGUUGAUGGAAUAUUGUAUGGUAUAGUCCUUCCUAGGAAUAUAGUGUAGUACAGUUGGCCUGCACCCCUUCAGGACCUCAGGUGGGGAAAAUAACAUGUUUCAGUGUACCCUAUAGUUAAAACAGAAAACCCUUUCCCCAAACACAGAAAAUUAGUGCAUCAAGGAUACACAUUGGUUAAAUUCUUCUUAACAUGCUAUAUUUCAAUGUUCAGACAAUAUUUCCCAGAGGGAAGUAUUCAAACAUGUGACAAACCCCCAAAAUCUGAAGUGGUACAGUCCAGGGCAGAGCUUUGGGGCAGGUGUGCAGAAUGAGAGGAUGGGGGGUGGGUAAUUAUGGCAGGGCUAGCUUACCACAUCUUGAAGUAACACUCUGUAGAGCCCUGCCAAAUAGUUUAAACUGACAACUAAUUGCACCACUGAGUCCAGGAGCCCCUUUUUGCCACCUUUGGGGAUUUUCUCUUUUAUUUAUCUGCUAAGCAUCCUGUGACCCCAGUCCAACAGAGCUCAUUGGGAGCAGCUGGGAAUGUGUGUACAGAAAGCCUCACUCAUCAGCUGCUUGGCAGGAAAUUGGGGGGGGAGCUGAGGCAGGGAGAGUGAAUGCAGCCCAACUCCUACAGAGCUGAGUGCUCUGUUUAAAGGUCUCUGCACCUGUCCUGCUUCAGCCCUGGAUGUUGGAAUGGGGAAGGGGAAUUACACUGGCAACCCCGGAGAUGUCUGGGGGUGAAUAUCUCCUCACUUGGUCAAGCCACAGAGCUGCAGAUCCUUUGCGUUGUUUGGCUACUUAAACCUCAUGGACUCUUUUCUCCCUGACUUCAGCAACUUGUCUGUGCUCCCCUUCCACUGCAGUGGCCCAGCACAGCUGUCUCGUGGGCAAAGAGAGGGCAGAGCAGGAGCGUACAACCAGUGGCCCUCCAGAUGUUGCUGGAUUCCAACUCCCACAAGCCCUGACUAUUGGCCAUGCUGGCUGGGGCUAAUGGGAGACGGAGUCCAGCAACAUUUGGAGGGCCAACGGUUGCCCAACCCUGGUGUAGAGGUGGCAUGUCUUUCCUUUUACACAAAUGUUCUUGGGAUGGGGGCUCCAAUGGGAGUCUACCACCAUAUUUAUGAGGGAAACUCAUGUCUGCAGGAGGAGAGGGUGGGGGGUGUUCCAAUGCUGCCUGGGGAGCAGAGAGGAGGCUUGUGGGCCUGGGGCACCAAUUGGGAGAAAUUCUGGCAUGAGGAGUGUUGCUUGAGAGCAAUGGUGUAGCUGUCGAGGGUCUCGGGGGGCCUUAGACCCCUUACUUUUGGGUGGGGUACCGGGUCCCUGCAGAGUCCCUAUGUCUUCAGCAUGCUACAAGCCAAUCAUUAUUAAAGGAGAGUGUGUUAGCCACUGAGAAGAGUCUUCUAACUUGAUUCCUGUCAUUUCCUGCUGAUGGGAGCCAAUCAGAGUGAAAGGAGUUCCCAUUAGUUCCUACUUCAAAAAGCCAAGUUGUGGAGAGUGAGAAUUCUGUAACUGCAGAAGAAGAGACAGUGAAUCCUGAUGAUAGCAUCCCUUCUACAUCACCAAACAGUUUGAUAGCAGCAGGAGAUAAAUGUGGAGACCCAGAAUUCAAUAAUUCAAGCAAUAUCCCUGACAGUGAGAAAGGACAGUCAAAUGGUGACAGUGAUAGAGAAGCAGAAAGCAGCAUUCAAGCCCGGCUGGAUCAUUCUAUCAUCAGUUUACCACUACGCUUCUGCUAGAGAGGGGAGGAAGAGGAGAGUUAUAUGGGAAUCAAAAGCUACAGUAACUCCAGUGGGUCAAAGGAAGCAUCCUCAGAUCCAGUCUCCCCUCUGCCAGCCAUGUGCUAGAUCAGCUUUCCCCCAACCUGACACCCUCCAGAUGUUUGGCUGUGCUGGCUGGAGCUGAUGGGAAUUGUAGUCCAAAACAGCUGGAGGGUGCUUGGUUGUGGUGGAAAGGCUGUACUGUUACAGAAUCUGAGAGCCCAAACUGCACAAUAUGUGUGAGAGAGGCAGGAUCAGAUCUGAUGUUUCUGUUUUUCAUUGAAAGCCACAGGGUGGGUGGGUGAGAGGGAGUGAGAAACUGGGUUGGGGGGUAGCAGCACUGGAGAAGUGAGGUCAUUCUCCUCCUCCCCCCCAUUUAAAACCCUCCCCCAGUCUGGUAACCCUAUAGUGGGAAAGCUACAGGCUCUCCUGUCUUUUCUAGAGUGGAGCUAACAGCAAUUGGGGUGGGGUGGGUAAUAUAGAUGAGCAUGGAAACAGCACGGGAAGAAAGGUUUAAUAAAAGCCUUCCCCCAGAGCUGCAAUUCCAGUCCAUUUUGCCAGUCCCUGCAGCUGUUCUAAACUAAAAAUAGAAAUGCCAGGAAAUCACAUCUCGAUUCCCUUGCACCUCAUGUGGCUUAGCCCUUAGCCAAAGCCAGUGUUAUUUGCUCAGCCUCAAAGCCCCAGCCCACCCAUCUGCAAUAUAAGCAUCAUAAUAGUGGUCUACUUUACAAAGCUGUUGUAAGGAUUACUGAGAUAAUACAUAUGAAGCACUCUGAAUCCUGGAAAAGAAUGUCCUACUUAAAAAAUUAAGAAAUGCUAUUAUUGCUGUAGUUCAUGAAUUGGGGAGACACACCAGUGUUCAGCAAUGCUAGGAAAGGCAGCUCGUGGGUGGGUGUAUAUAUGCAUGCGCUCUCCCCUCUUGGCAGCAGAAGCUUAGCUAGGGAUGCAACAAACCUGUACUGAAAAUGCAGAUGUUUGGAAUUCACGCGCCAACAGGUCUUCCUGCACUAGCACCACAAAAGGAAAGGGUGGCUCUUAGGGUGCCUUGGACCGUCAGUAUUUUGCGGGAGCGAUUCAAGUGCACACCAGAAAUUUAGAUUUGAGCAGUUAAAGUUCUCUCUCACCCUAUUGUGACAAAUCCACUUUAAAAAAGAGACUUUUUGUUGUUUAGAAAGUGGCAGAAGAAAGCAUUGAAAAGUAUGGGGGGAUUGAAUGACUAACAGGAAGACAAAUAAACACGCUGCAAGCUGAUCAGGAUGAAUCCGGGAUGAAUGCUCAUUACAGAACUGCCCAGCAAACCGAUCAGAACAAAUGCGCAAUAGACUUGGAUAUAAUCAAACCUACAUUUAAGCUUUGGGCAAGCAAAUCAGGUUGAACGUUCAACAAACAGGUCGUCUGGAGGGGCUGUCACAAAGGGCUACCCGCGUGAGACACAGCCACGACGCUCGCUCCCUGGCAGAUGGAAUGACAAUUAAGAAGAUCUUGGAUGUACAAGAAGGGACUUUAGAUAUGUUUCAGAAAAUAAUGAAUGGGAUUAAGUCAAUAAAACAAGAACUGAGAAAUAAUAGUCAAGCGUUGAGAAUUGAAUUUGACGAAAUGAGACAGGAGCUGAAAGAAAUUCAGGAUUCUAUGAGAAAGGAGAAUAAAGAUAGAUCUGGAAAACCAAAAAAGGAUGAAAGAAAAAUUAAAGGCAAGGUUCAAACUAUGGAGAUUGGAUUAAAUAUGGACAUGGAAAAAGAUUUGGAUUUCCUGGCUGUGAUGGAUCCUGGAGACAAAUAUUACGGUUUGGAAUUCAGCGCUGUUCCUGAAGGAAUUGAUGAAGCGUUUGGAGAUAAAGAUAUUAUCGGUUCGAAAAAAUUCUUGGACUGGAAGGAUUUGAUGGAACUUGAAAUGGAGAAAGUUAACAGAAUUAAUCCCUGUUUUGUGUCAAUGGAAAAAUCUUCAAGAGAUGUGCUAGUAUAUUCUGUAAAAAAGAGGAACAGAGAUGCGGCUUUGCAACAAUACUUCAGUGAUACGUUCAGAAUUGAUGGCAAGGAAAUAUCUGUGAUAAAGGAAAUUCCUAUCAGACUCUUAUUAUAUGACUAUGGCAGCAAGAUUAUUGGGUGCGUAAAGAUGGAAGAUGGAAGAUGGAACUAACACGGAUAAUGGAAGAAGAGCGAUUUGAAAUUACUGGACUUAGUAGACUUGAUGAGUUGGAUUAAUUGACAUGUUUAUCUAGAAAAAAAAUUGAUGGACAUAUAUCUCAAGGAUUGGAAACUUCUCU